AGUAUAUAAAUACCCGUACCGCAAACCGACACAGGUAGGCGAGGAGAAAAUCCUAAGACGUGCGGAAGAACCCUUGUUAAGGAACUAGGCAAAAUAACCCCGUAACUUCGGGAGAAGGGGUGCCAACUAAGGUGAAGCAUUUACUGCGUAAGCAUUAGUUGGCCGCAGUGAAUAGGCCCAAACGACUGUUUAUCAAAAACAUAGGUCUCUGCUAAGUCGAAAGACGAUGUAUAGGGGCUGACACCUGCCCGGUGCUGGAAGGUUAAGGGGAAGAGUUAGCGUAUGCGAAGCUCAGAACUUAAGCCCCAGUAAACGGCGGCCGUAACUAUAACGGUCCUAAGGUAGCGAAAUUCCUUGUCGGGUAAGUUCCGACCCGCACGAAAGGUGUAACGAUUUGGGCACUGUCUCAACAAGGGAUCCGGUGAAAUUGUAGUACUCGUGAAGAUGCGAGUUACCUGCGACAGGACGGAAAGACCCCGUGGAGCUUUACUGUAGGCUGACAUUGGAUUUCGGUAUUGCUUGUACAGCAUAGGUGGGAGACUGAGAAGCUAGGGCGCCAGCUUUAGCAGAGUCAACAUUGGGAUACCACUCUUGCAAUGCUGAAGUUCUAACCAGAGACUGUGAAUCCAGUCUUGGGACACUGUCAGUCGGGCAGUUUGACUGGGGCGGUCGCCUCCUAAAAUGUAACGGAGGCGCUCAAAGGUUCCCUCAGCACGGUCGGAAAUCGUGCAUAGAGUGUAAAGGCAUAAGGGAGCUUAACUGCGACACCUACAAGUGGAGCAGUAAGGAAACUUGGACUUAGUGAUCCGGUGGCACCGCAUGGAAGGGCCAUCGCUCAACGGAUAAAAGCUACCCCGGGGAUAACAGGCUUAUCUCCCCCAAGAGUCCACAUCGACGGGGAGGUUUGGCACCUCGAUGUCGGCUCGUCUCAUCCUGGGGCUGGAGUAGGUCCCAAGGGUUGGGCUGUUCGCCCAUUAAAGAGGCACGCGAGCUGGGUUCAGAACGUCGUGAGACAGUUCGGUCCCUAUCCGUCGUAGGCGUAGGAAAUUUGAGAAGAGCCAUUCCUAGUACGAGAGGACCGGAAUGGACAGACCACUGGUGCAUCAGUUGUCUUGCCAAAGGCACAGCUGAGUAGCUAUGUCUGGAAGGGAUAAGUGCUGAAGGCAUCUAAGCACGAAGCCCCCUUCAAGAUGAGAUUUCCCAUCGUAAGAGUAAGACUCCAAGUAGACUACUUGGUUGAUAGGUCUCAGGUGUAAGAGUAGCAAUAUUCUUAGCUAAGAGAUACUAAUAAGUCGAGGGCUUGACCAA
rnacentral:rRNA from 1 species